rnacentral:lncRNA from 1 species
GUGAGGGACAGGACGGUGUCGACAAAGGCACCCUUGGUGAUGGGGUCGAAGAAGAAGCGCUCGACCGGGACGGAGAAGUCGAGGCCGCCCGCGAACACGGGCACCACCUUGGCGCCGCGGGACUCGAGCUCCAUCACCAUGCCCGCGUAGUGGCCCUCGUCGCCGGUGACGAGGUGCGAGCGCUGGAGGACGAGGCCGACGACGGGGGCAUCCUUGGCGAAGGUCAUGUCCUUGCGGGUGUCGUACCAGUUGAGGUACUCCUUGAGGUCCUCGUACAUGGUGGGCGCGGUGGGGUGCCAGAUGCCGAUGUCGGGGAACGUCUCGGGCUCGGCAAUCUCCAUCUCCAUGUCCUUGAGCGCGGGAACGUAC